AGCUACCACCGCGUCAUCGUUACUGAGCCGCAGCACUGCCGUGGCCGCACUCUGCUGCCGCCGCGUCUCACCAAGCCGCCGCAGGAGGAGGAGCGCUCGCCAGUUCUGCCUCUGCCUCUGGGUUCUGUGAGUUGCCGGAGCUCUCUGCCACCGGGAACUAACAUUCGAGCUGCCCAGGAAACCACCAUUAGAACCACUACUGUUUUGGUAGCUGCCGGCUCUAUUUGGAGAUUGCUAGUGCCAUUGGAGUCGCCGGGAACCAAUGUUGGAGCCGCUCUUGAUGAUUCUGAUGCUGCUACGUAGGUCCCGAGCUGCUGUGUUGUUGCCAGAGGAAGGGAACUCAUAUGAAAACGUUACCGAGGCUGCUGCUUGGUUUAAUUACGUUGUUAAUGCGACAUUGAGUGACACAGGUCCGAAGACUCAGUUUGAAGCUGCGGGCGAUUCUAGAACUUAUUUACGAGUUAAGUGUAUGAGU